rnacentral:rRNA from 1 species
UACAGAGGUGGCGAGCGUUAUUCGGAAUUAUUGGGCGUAAAGCGCACGUAGGCGGCUUAGCAAGUCGGAAGUGAAAUCCCUCGGCUCAACCAAGGAAGUGCUUUCGAAACUGCUGAGCUUGAGUACUUAAGAGGAUCGCGGAAUUCCCGGUGUAGAGGUGAAAUUCGUAGAUAUCGGGAGGAACACCAGUGGCGAAGGCGGCGUCUGGGAAGAUACUGACGCUGAGGUGCGAAAGCGUGGGGAGCAACAGG